CUGUUUAUCAAAAACAUAACCUUUAGCCACAAACCAAUAUUAAAGGCAACGCCUGCCCAGUGAACAAUUCAACGGCCGCGGUACCCUAACCGUGCAAAGGUAGCGUAAUCACUUGUCUAUUAAUUGUAGACCCGUAUGAAAGGCAAAAUGAGGGUCUAACUGUCUCUUAUAGUAAAUCAAUUAAACUGAUCUCCCAGUCCAAAAGCUGGGAUCCCCCCAUAAGACCAGAAGACCCUGUGAAGCUUAAACUAAACUAUUAAACCCAAUAAUAACUCCUUUCGGUUGGGGCGACCUUGGAAAAAAAAAGAACUUCCAAAUAUAUGAUCAUUCACCACAUCCACUCCGGCCAACAAGCCUAACACGACCCAGCACAGCUGAUAAUCGAACCAAGCUACUCCAGGGAUAACAGCGCUAUCUUCUUCAAGAGCCCAUAUCAAAAAGAAGGUUUACGACCUCGAUGUUGGAUCAGGACAUCCUAAUGGUGCAGCCGCUAUUAAAGGUUCGUUUGUUCAACGAUUAACAGUCCUACGUGAUCUGAGUUCAGACCGGAUGUUUUU
rnacentral:rRNA from 1 species